GCUGGGCGCCAUGGCGCGUGCCUAUAGCCCCAGCUACUCGGGAGACUGAGGUGGGAGGAUCCCUCCAGCCCACGAGUUCUGGGCUGUAGUGCGCUAUGCCUAUCGGAUGUCCGCACUAAGUUUGGCAUCGAUAUGGUGACCUCCCGGGAGCGGGGGACCACCAGGUUGCCUAAGGAGGAGUGAACAGGCCCAGGUCGGAAACGGAGUAGGUCAAAACUCCCGUGCUGAUCAGUAGGGGAAUCGCGCCUGUGAAUAACCACUGCACUCCAGCCUGGGCAACAUAGCGAGACCCCAUCUCUU
ensembl:misc_RNA Metazoa_SRP Metazoan signal recognition particle RNA